rnacentral:rRNA from 1 species
GAUGAACGCUAGCGGCAGGCCUAAUACAUGCAAGUCGAACGGUGUCUUCGGACAUAGUGGCGCACGGGUGCGUAACACGUAUGCAACCUACCUUACAUUGGGGGAUAGCCUUUCGAAAGGGAGAUUAAUACCGCAUAAGACAGUAGCUGGGCAUCCAGCAGCUGUUAAAGAUUUAUCGAUGUAAGCUGGGCAUGCGUCCAAUUAGCUAGUUGGUGAGGUAACGGCUCACCAAGGUAAUGAUUGGUAGGGGAACUGAGAGGUCAAUCCCCCACACAGGCACUGAGAUACGGGCCAGACUCCUACGGGAGGCAGCAGUAGGGAAUAUUGGGCAAUGGACGCAAGUCUGGCCCAGCCAUGCCGCGUGCAGGAUGAAGGCGUUAUGCGUUGUAAACUGCUUUUAUACAGGAAGAAACGACUCUUGCGAGAGGCAUUGACGGUACUGUAUGAAUAAGCACCGGCUAACUCCGUGCCAGCCGCCGCAGUAAUAC